AGUCACUGACAUUAAGAUACCCCCGGUAGUCCAGGGUGUAAACGCUGCAGACUUGGUGUUGGAAGCCCUUUGGGGGCAUUCAGUGCCGGAGAGAAGUUGUUAAGUCUGCUACUUGGGGAGUACGUCCGCAAGGAUGAAACUUAAAGGAAUUGGCGGGGGAGCACCGCAACGGGAGGAGCGUGCGGUUUAAUUGGAUUCAACACCGUAAAACUCACCAGGGAAGACUGUUACAUGAAGGCCGAGAUGAAGACUCUGCUAGAUUUUCAG
rnacentral:rRNA from 1 species